AGACGAAGGUGGCAACCGUUGUUCGGAAUCACUGGGCAUAAAGCGCGCGUAGGCGGCAGCGUAAGUCGGAUGUGAAAUCCCUCGGCUCAACCGAGGAACUGCGUCCGAAACUGCGUAGCUUGAGGACAGAAGGGGAGCGUGGAAUUCCGGGUGGAGCGGUGAAAUGCGUUGAUAUCCGGAGGAACACCGGCGGCGAAGGCGACGCUCUGGUCUGUUUCUGACGCUGAGGUGCGAAAGCCAGGGGAGCAAACGGGAUUAGAUACCCCAGUAGUCC
rnacentral:rRNA from 1 species